rnacentral:rRNA from 1 species
CGGAGGGGCUAGCGUUGUUCGGAAUUACUGGGGCGUAAAGCGCACGUAGGCGGAUCGGAAAGUUGGGGGUGAAAUCCCGGGGGCUCAACCCCGGAACUGCCUUCAAAACUAUCGGUCUGGAGUUCGAGAGAGGUGAGUGGAAUUCCGAGUGUAGAGGUGAAAUUCGUAGAUAUUCGGAGGAACACCAGUGGCGAAGGCGGCUCACUGGCUCGAUACUGACGCUGAGGUGCGAAAGCGUGGGGAGCAAACAGGAUU